rnacentral:lncRNA from 1 species
UUUUUUCUAUUUUAUUAGACUGAUAUGCCAUCGUUGAGAAAAUGGUGGUGUAUCAUGCUGAUUGAAAAUCUUGACCUUGGAAGCCAUGGCAAACCCUUUGCCCACUGGACUGACACAUCUAAGGCUCUUCUUCGGGGUGAGGUGCCACCAGUUUUUAAACUGAAGAAGAGAAGGCGAGAUGAAAUUCAUGAGGGGCCACUUGACAACAUUGUGGCUGGAGUUGCCUGGCUGCGUCAAAAUGCAGGUUUGCUCAGGGGGAAGGUGGUCGAGCCCGCAUUUCCGAAUAUGGACGCUAAAGAACAGCAGGAGCUCCUGGAAAGGAUACGUUCUUCAACUGAUGAAGAAGAAAAGUACCCCCUGCUCUUCACAUUUGAUUUUCAGGAAGAUAUGGAAGUCUUCCUAAACAUGGCAGCUGAGGAGGAUCUUCGGGUCAACGCCAUGUUUCUGGGUCGCUGGGUGGACAGCCAGUGACAUUGCUGUGUGUGUGUGUGUGUGUGUGUGUGUGUGUGUGUGUGUGUGUGUGUGUGUGUGUGUGUGUGUGUGUGUGUGUGUGUGUGUGUGUGUGUGUGUGUGUGUGUGUGUGUGUGUGUGUGUGUGUGUGUUGAGGUUCUGAGUUCAGUUAUCUGUUGAGUGUUCUUAAUAAAGUGUUAUAACGUUUACAAUGUAUUGAUUUUUUGUAUGACUUAACUUAUUCACUUUGGUUACACACAGAGCUAAGUUUAAACACAGACUUGAGUUUGUCGUAUUUAAAUAUGGGCAAAUAAUGUGGUCCAGCAGUACAAGGUAAGACAAUAUUAUAGACAAUUAGAGCCAGAUAUUAAAUGAAUGAUGGUUCAGAGUAAGAAUUUAGGAAUGCAAAAGUGCUAAUAACAUAUGAUAAAUUAUGUUGGAAUGCAGUCGAACCUCAUGAUAUUAUGACAACAGAAUGUAACAUAGCUAGACCUAAUAUAAAUAUGUCAGAA